rnacentral:rRNA from 1 species
UACGUAGGUGGCGAGCGUUGUCCGGAAUCACUGGGCGUAAAGGGCGCGUAGGCGGCAAUACAGGUCGCAUGUGAAAUACCAGGGCUCAACCCUGGGGGGCCAUGCGAAACUGUAUAGCUUGAGUGCAGUAGAGGUAAGCGGAAUUCCUGGUGUAGCGGUAAAAUGCGUAGAGAUCAGGAGGAACACCGAUGGCGAAGGCGGCUUACUGGGCGUGCAACUGACGCUGAGGCGCGAAAGCGUGGGGAGCAAACAGG